AGCAAUGCACACGAGCAGACAGAGAAGCAACAUCUUUAAGGUACUGAGGGCAGGAGAAGUUAAUGUAGAAUACUAUGCCAGAAAAAAUAAAUUCCCAAAAGUGGAAGUGAAAUAAGGACAUUUAGAGAUGUACAAAAGCUGACCGAAUUCACUACCAGUCAACCCACACUACAAGAAACAUCAAAUGAGUCCUCCAAGCAGAAGGAAUCCAAUACCAGAUGAAAAUCCAGAUCUCCACGAGGAAAUGAAGAACACCAGAAAUGGAUCGGCCCUUUCUUCAAAUAAGAGCAGUUGGAAUAACAAAGCUGUUCAGUUGUACCCUUGGAAUCCACUGAAAUCCUGGGUAGGGAAGCUCCAGUACCACCAACUGGAAAGACUGGGAAUGCCUAAUAGCUGGUACUGGCCAUUGUCGUAGGCUUUGUCCACUCUGACAAACUGAAGAUGGGGACUCGACUCACCUUCGCCAGCCACAGGAGGACCUCCAGACGAGGACAGGACUCGCUGCCUUUCUUUCCCGUCAGAAAGGGAUCCCUUGCGGACAGGACCUAAGUGAGUAGCUGGUUUCCCCUACUUGUCCUUCCGGGCCUGGGUGUCUCGGGGGCUCAGGCUGACGGGAGACCUAACUACCGGCGAGUGAGACCAGCAGGAGCCUGGAGGGGCGCGCACCAGGGUGGAGGUUUGGUGCCGGGGGUUGAGAACAACAGUCAAACCCUCUUCUUCCCCUGGCACCACGCACCUGCCCCCCGGGAUGCCGAACGAAGUGGUCCCUAAAGCUCCUCUGCAGGCCCAACCGAAACAGGCCUGAAGCUCCAGGAUGGGCGAGAGGAUCCUCUUUGAGCGAAACCAGCCUUCUGCCUGGCUGGCCCUGGUCAACACCCUGGGAAGAGGCCGAUUUGGCGGACAGAACGGAAGAAAAGACCUAAAGGUAGAAUCUCAUGAUGUCGAGAUGUUAAAACACUCAAAUUUUAAGGUUCGACUGUGAGGGGGAGAUAGGGGGUCUCGAGCUGGAUCGACCCCUGAGCCUUCAUCUGCAGAGUCCUGUGCACCAGCUCAGAGGACAGGACUAUGUGCACCAAUGGUUCUCAUCAGGCGGCAACUUCACCCUCACAUGCCUCCCCCAUCCCUGCUGGUACACAAGACCACGACUAGGGGAAGCCCGGAGGGAGAAUGUUAACCCCUGGCAUCUAUCUAGUCAGCAGAGGUGAGGGAUGCUGCUAAACACCUUACAAUCCACCGGAGGACACCCGCCCCCACCGACCCCGAAGUAGCCAUUCCCUGGAGGUGGGGAAACUCGCCUGUAGAUCAAUGCCCACGCACUUGGCGGACAGGAAAUCACGAAUUGGCCACUAACUGGAUCUUGGAUCUGAGGAAAAAAUUCCAGCGUCAGAGGGAACUCUCGGAGAUUUGCCCAGAGCAUAAGGAACGUACUCCUUCCCUCAGUGAUGGAUCCUCACAUCUGGGGGAAAUCAUAGACAAUUUCUUUUGUAGGGCGAACUCUGCUAUACAGUUUAUGAUGUCAGAGUGAAUACUUUCUUUGAGUUGCAGUCAGAAACUGUAGAUUUUUAAAAAUUUAAAAUUCAUUAUUCUCUGUCAGUAUUCCAAAGUGUAUACAGAAAGCUAUUGCACUGUUCAGGAGAUGGCGCUUAACAUUUUGGAAAUUCAAGGUGAUGAAUGUCCAGAUAAGACUAUCUCUCCUGGUACAAAGUUUGACAAUGCUGAACACUUUUAAAGGUUCUUUUUGAUAUACAAAGUGCACCAAUGAGUGCUUUUUAAUUCUUACAAUAAUUCUGGGUGAGGUAGGUAUUUUUCCAAUUCCCAUUUUAUGCUUCGGUAGCCCUUUGUAUUUAUACUUCAAAACACUUGGCUCUCUUGUAAUUAUUUAAGAAAUUAGUUGUGAUUAUUUGUUUAAUGUGCAGGAGUUACAAAAGGCAAGCUUUAGAACAAGACAGACCUGGUUAUGAUUCCUGGCUCUGAAAGCUGUACACCCUGUGACCCUAGACAGGUGUUUUAAUGCCUCGCUGCCUCUGUUUCUUGCUCUGUAAAAUGUGAACAAUAACAGUAUUGGCCUCAUGCUUUUUUUGGGUUUUAAAAGUAAUAAUGUGGACAAAGAUCAGUGGAGUGCCUGGCAUGCUGAACCCAUUCCAUGACUGUUAGAUAUAGUUGUUAUGAUUUGUAUCAAUCCAUUUUCACACUGCUAUAAGGAACUACCUGAGACUGGGUAAUCUAUGAAGAAAAGAGGUUUAAUUGACUCACAGUUCUGCAUGGCUGGGAGUCCUCAGGAACUUACAAUCAUGGCAGAAGGGGAAGCAAGACAUUUCUUAUAUGGCAGCAGGACAGAAAGAGAGAGAGUGAAGGGGGAAGUGCCACACACUUCCAAACAACCAUAUCUUGUGGUUAAUUAAAAAGUACUCAUUGGUGUGCCUUGUAUAGAAAAAAAUAUACACUCACUAUCAUGAGAACAGCAAGGAGGGAGUCUGCCCCCAAGAUUCAAUCACCUCCCAGUAGACCCCUCCCCUGACAUGUGGGGAUUACAAUUCAAGAUGAGAUUUGGGUGGGGAAACAGAGUCAAACCAUAUCGUGAUUGUUCUAUAAUAAAGAGAUGCCCACAUGUGUUUCAUCAGGGACAGUGCUCAUUAACCAGUUGUCCUGCCGUAAUUAUUAAUAGUAUCCCCUUUGCUUUCAAAAGUGUCCUAGUUUACAAAAAGUAUAGAAAUGGAGGACAGAAUAGUGGUUGCCCAAGAUUGGAAAAGGGUAAGGGUAAAGGGUGCAGAGGUGGAUGUGGUUAUAAAAGGCAACAUGGGAGAUCCUCGUAGUGAAGGAACUGUUUAGUAUCUCCACUGUGGUGGUAGAUACCCGAACCUAAACAUGUGAAAAAUUGCAUGAAACUAAACACACACACAAACAAGUACAAGUUAAGUUAGGAAAAUCCAAAUAAGAUUUCUACAUUGUAUCAAUAGGUAUAUCUUGAUUAUGAUAUUGCAAGAUGGUACUAUUCAAGGAAACUGGGUAGAGGCUACAUGAGACUCCCCUGUAUUAUUUCCUAUAACUCCAUGUGAAUCUACAAGGAUCUCAGGAUUAAGGAAGAUAUCCUAGUUUGGAAGAUAAAAAAUAUAUCCCAGUAGUAAUAUCCACUGUCCCACCAGGGCCUGACUACCUUCUAUAAAAAGAAGUGCCUUUGUUCCCCUCAAGUUCCUUUAUUUGGUUUUAUUCUUCUUCACAGUACCUACCUCCACUUGGCAGAUUACAUUUAUUUUUUCAUCUUUCAACAGCUAUUUACUGAAUGCCUACUAGAUGCCAGGCUUGAGAUCUAGCAAUGAACAAGAUCUCUGUGAAACUUACAUUCCAGGAGGAGAAAUAAAUAAUAAACCAAAAAUAUAAUCAGUAAAUUAUUUAAUAUGCUGGGAAACAAUAUGUGUAAUGGAAGAAAUAUGUAAAGUGAUGGAUUAGGGUUCUCCAGAGAAACAGAACCAACAAUUGACUCAUGUGAUUAUGGAGGCUGAGAAGUCUCAAGAUCACAGUUGGCAAGCUUGAGACACAGGAGAGCCCAUGGUGUGUUUCUGAUUUGAGUCCAAAGGCCUGAGAACCAGGAGAGAUGAUGGUGUGAUUACAGUUCAAAAGCUGGCAGGCUUGAGGCCCAGGAAGAGCCAGUGUUGCAGUUCAAUUCCAAAGGCAGGAAAAGGCUGAUAUCUCAGCUGAAGCAAUCAGGCAGAAGGAGCUCUCUCUUACUCAUGGGCAGGUCAGACUUUUGGUUCUAUUCAGGCCUUUAAGUGAUUGGAUGAGGAUCAUCUACUGGGGAAAGAAAUAAGCUUUAUUCAGUGUACUGAUUCAAAUGUUAAUCUCAUCCAAAACCAUGCUCACAGACACACCCAGCAUAAUGUUUGACCAAGUAUCUGGGCACCUUGUGGUUCAGUCAAAUUAACACAUAUUAACUACCUUAGCAAGAUGAAAAGCAGUGAAUGCAGGAUGGUGGUUGAAAUUUUAAAUACGUUGGUUAUAUAGUCUCAUUGAAAAAGGAACAUUUGAGUGAAGACUUGAAGGGGUGGUGGAAUAAACCAUUUAUUUGCUUAUUGCCUGUCUCCCUCUAUCAGAAUGAAAGCUUCAUGAAGCGAGAGACUUAAUUUUUAUCUGUUAUAUCCCUAGUGCCUGGUGCAGGGUAAGUACUCAAAAAUAUUUGUUGAGUGAAUAAGUAAUGAUUGAGGAUGGGGACUGGUUUGUAUCUGGUUAUAUCUCUUGUCCUUAGCACAGUACCUGGCACAUCCUAAGCCAUCCAAAAGAGUUGGUUAUAUGAUUGUCUUUGAAUUCUAUGACUGUUUAUAAUAUACAGUAAACUUCACUGAAGACACUGA
rnacentral:lncRNA from 1 species